GGAUUGGUUAAAGAGCGUAAAGAAGGAGAGUUUACGGUGCUGGAGGAUUGUGAAGAAUGUACGGAAUAGGUGAAGGAACCGAGAGAGGUAGAAAGCGUAGGACCAAAAGAAGACGCGGCCGGUGGAGCGCGUCCCAAGUGGAAAACAAAGGAGCCACUGGAACGCAGUUGUAGUCCUGGUGCGAGGCCAGAACCAUCGCGUGUCGCGGAUCUCGGCGGCGGUUGAGAAAAGUAAACCGAUGAAAAUGAAGGCCGAGAUAAGCGCCAUGGUGAGGCUGUGGAUGGCUGGGAUGGGGCCUAGUGGAAUCCCGCGAUUACGUCUGAGUAGGACGGAGAGGAGGAGGUGGAGUGUGAUGGAGGAGGCGAUGUAGAUGGCUAUAGCGGAGAAGAUGAAGAACCAGGUAGAACCCCAUGUCUGAGUAAUGCUCCACCGGAAGUUUACUAUUGAUGGGUGGUCCGUUAAGCAAUGUUUGAAGCUCUGUAACAUGGACAGUGCCAUGUUCAUAACUGGGGUUUAAACAAUCUAUAGCAGAAUUGCGACUCUGNCUGUUAGUAGCUCCUAGCAAAUUCUUAUUCCUUGCAGAUUCAGGAAAAAGUAAGAGCUUACAGCCAGCCAAGAAAAGAAAAAGAAAAUUUUUCCGGCGAUGAGAAUGAAAGG
rnacentral:misc_RNA from 1 species